CCCUUAGAUGUUCUGGGCUGCACGCGCGCUACACUGACGCACGCAACCGGUGCCUGCUCCGAGAGGACUGGGUAAUCAUUUGAGUGUGCGUCGUGAUGGGGAUAGAAUAUUGUAAUUAUUACUCUUCAACGAGGAAUUCCUAGUAAGCGCCAGUCAGCAGCUUGCGCUGAUUACGUCCCUGCCCUUUGUACACACCGCCCGUCGCUCCUACCGAUGGGUGAUCCGGUGAAUGAUUCGGACUUCAGCGGCUCCCCUGGGGUGCGCCGGAGAAAGUUUUGUGAACCUUAUCACUUGGAGGAAGGAGAAGUCGUAACA
rnacentral:rRNA from 1 species